rnacentral:rRNA from 1 species
GUGCCAGCAGCCGCGGUAAUACGAAGGGACCUAGCGUAGUUCGGAAUUACUGGGCUUAAAGAGCUCGUAGGUGGUUAGAAAAGUUGGUGGUGAAAUCCCAAGGCUUAACCUUGGAACUGCCAGCAAAACUUUUUGACUAGAGUAUGAUAGAGGAAAGUGGAAUUUCUAGUGUAGAGGUGAAAUUCGUAGAUAUUAGAAAGAACACCAAUUGCGAAGGCAACUUUCUGGAUCAUUACUGACACUGAGGAGCGAAAGCAUGGGUAGCGAAGAGGAUUAGAUACCCUCGUAGUCCAUGCCGUAAACGAUGUGUGCUAGACGUUGGAAAUUUAGUUUUCAGUGUCGCAGCAAAAGCGUUAAGCACACCGCCUGGGGAGUACGACCGCAAGGUUAAAACUCAAAUGAAUUGACGGGGACCCGCACAAGUAGUGGAGCAUGUGGUUUAAUUCGAAGAUACGCGCAGAACCUUACCAACACUUGACAUGUUCGUCGCGACUCUAAGAGAUUAGAGUUUUCGGUUCGGCCGGACGAAACACAGGUGCUGCAUGGCUGUCGUCAGCUCGUGUCGUGAGAUGUUGGGUUAAGUCCCGCAACGAGCGCAACCCUUACUUUUAGUUGCUACCAUUUAGUUGGGCACUCUAAAAGAACUGCCGGUGAUAAGCUGGAGGAAGGUGGGGAUGACGUCAAGUCCUCAUGGCCCUUAUGUGUUGGGCUACACACGUGCUACAAUGGUACUCACAGUGAGAAGCGAAGAGGCGACUCUAAGCUAAUCCCUAAAAAGUACCUCAGUUCGGAUUGUACUCUGCAACUCGAGUACAUGAAGCUGGAAUUACUAGUAAUCGCGGAUCAGCGCGCCGCGGUGAAUGCGUUCCCGGGUCUUGCACACACCGCCCGUC